AAUGAACGCUGGCGGCGUGCCUAAUACAUGCAAGUCGAGCGACCGGACGAGAAGAUUGCUUCUCUGCUGUUAGCGACGGACGGGUGGGUAACAAGUGGAUAACCUUCCUCUAUGACUGGGGUAAUUUCGGGAAACCGCAGCUACUACUGGCUAAUAUUUUGUACCGCAUGGAUCAAAAGUGAUAGACGGCCUUGCUGUUUCUUUUAGCUGGAUCCGCGCUGCAUUAGCUAGUUGGUAAGGUAACGGCUUACCAAGGCGACGAUGCUUAGCCGACCUGAGAGGGUGAUCGGCCACACUGGAACUGAGACACGGUCCAGACUCCUACGGGAGGCAGCAGUAGGGAAUCUUCCGCAAUGGGCGAAAGCCUGACGGAGCAAUGCCGCGUGAGUGAUGAAGGUCUUCGGAUCGUAAAACUCUGUUAUUAGGGAAGAACAUAUGUGUAAGUAACUGUGCACAUCUUGACGGUACCUAAUGAGAAAGCCACGGCUAACUACGUG
rnacentral:rRNA from 1 species